UCACUGGAGGUCUAGUGGUUAGGCCCCGGUGUUCUCACCGCCGCGGCCCGGGUUCGAUCCUCAGCCAGGGAA